rnacentral:rRNA from 1 species
UACGGAGGGGGUUAGCGUUGUUCGGAAUUACUGGGCGUAAAGCGCGCGUAGGCGGAUUGGAAAGUUGGGGGUGAAAUCCCGGGGCUCAACCCCGGAACUGCCUCCAAAACUUCCAGUCUGGAGUUCGAGAGAGGUGAGUGGAAUUCCGAGUGUAGAGGUGAAAUUCGUAGAUAUUCGGAGGAACACCAGUGGCGAAGGCGGCUCACUGGCUCGAUACUGACGCUGAGGUGCGAAAGUGUGGGGAGCAAACAGG